AGGCUCUGAAAUCCAGCCAAGCUACCUCUGCUGGGGAAAAAAAGAAAAUAAGUGUGGGCAGAGAAAUACAUUCUUCUUCCAAAACCAGCUUUAUAUCAGAAGACAGUACAACUCUGUUAAUUUGCUGCAGUCUCUUUAUCCUGCGAUAUUCCAGCCUCUCAAAAAAUGAAAAAGAGAAAGUGGAAAGCUUUCAGAAGGAAGGGGGAAUGGGUUGAGGAUGACAUCAGGUUAGAAAGGGAGAGCAAGAUUGCCAAAGAGGAAUGGACACUACCUGGAGCAGAUGCAUCUGUGCUGGAUAACUGGCCUUUGCCAGGAUGCUGGGCAUGGCAAGUGUGAAUGUGUGGGAAGUUGCUACGUGUGAAAAAUGUACCUAUGUAAAAUGAGGUCACAUGGAAUAAAUAUGCAAAUAAAUGCUAUGUCUUUAGGUCAGAGGGAAAUCUUUAUGAACUUGUCAGUUUGACUUGCUUAGCUGGGAGCCUCAGAAAGCGGGGGAGUUAGAGGUUUUGCUUGAUUCUAUAGUAUUUCCCACUGUUCAGGAGCAAUAACGCUAGAAAAUGAGACUGUUAUUUUAUGAU